rnacentral:rRNA from 1 species
UACGAAGGGGGGCUAGCGUUGUUCGGAAUCACUGGGCGUAAAGGGCGCGUAGGCGGCUUUAUAAGUCGGGGGGUGAAAGCCUGUGGCUCAACCACAGAAUUGCCUUCGAUACUGUAGAGCUUGAGACCGGAAGAGGUAAGUGGAACUGCGAGUGUAGAGGUGAAAUUCGUAGAUAUUCGCAAGAACACCAGUGGCGAAGGCGGCUUACUGGUCCGGUUCUGACGCUGAGGCGCGAAAGCGUGGGGGAGCAAACAGG